CAAGUCGAACGCGAAAGCCCCGCAAGGGGUAAGUAGAGUGGCAAACGGGUGAGUAACACGUGGGUGACCUGCCUUCGAGUGGGGGAUAACGUCCCGAAAGGGACGCUAAUACCGCAUGACAUCCUGCCUUUGAAGAGGCGGAGAUCAAAGCUGGGGAUCGCAAGACCUAGCGCUUGAAGAGGGGCCCGCGUCCGAUUAGCUAGUUGGUGAGGUAAUGGCUCACCAAGGCAACGAUCGGUAGCCGGCCUGAGAGGGCGGACGGCCACACUGGGACUGAGACACGGCCCAGACUCCUACGGGAGGCAGCAGUGGGGAAUUGUUCGCAAUGGGCGCAAGCCUGACGACGCAACGCCGCGUGGAGGAUGAAGAUCUUCGGGUCGUAAACUCCUGUCGAAUGGGACGAACGGAUCGCGUGUGAACAACACGUGGUCGUGACGGUACCGUUAAAGGAAACCCCGGCUAACUCCGUGCCAGCAGCCGCGGUAAUACGGGGGGGGUAAGCGUUGUUCGGAAUUACUGGGCGUAAAGGGCUCGUAGGCGGCCAACUAAGUCAGACGUGAAAUCCCUCAGCUUAACUGGGGAACUGCGUCUGAUACUGGAUGGCUUGGAUCCGGAAGAGGGAUGCGGAAUUCCAGGUGUAGCGGUGAAAUGCGUAGAUAUCUGGAGGAACACCGGUGGCGAAGGCGGCAUCCUGGGCCGGUAUUGACGCUGAGGAGCGAAAGCCAGGGGAGCAAACGGGAUUAGAUACCCCGGUAGUCCUGGCCCUAAACGAUGAAUGCUUGGUGUAGCGGGUAUCGAUCCCU
rnacentral:rRNA from 1 species